UAUUUUAUUUUAAUUAACUUUGGGGGGCGCACCGUGCAGCUUGUGGGAUCUUAGUUCCCAGACCAGGGAUUGAACCAGGGGCCACGUCAGUGAAAGCGCUGAGCCCUAACCACCGGACCACCAAGGAAGUCCCAGGCAUAGUGGGGUUCUUUAUUUUAGGC